rnacentral:lncRNA from 1 species
CACAAUCUCAAUUUCUGCCCUUACAUGCAUGUAUACACCUACACACAUGCACUUACAUGUAUAUACAUACCUACACAUAUGCACUUACAUGUAUAUACACCUUCACACAUGCCCUUACAUGCAUGUACACACCUACACACAUGCACUUACACAAAAAAUGGUAACAGUCAGAGAGCAUUAGAAAACGCUUUAGAGAUCCAGGUACGGUGGGGUACACCUGUAUUCCCAUCACUCUGAGGCUGAGGCACAACACAAGUCUGAG